ACAAGCUCCUGCAGACUAACAACAUUAAUACCUACAAAAAGCAAAUAAUAUACCUAUCUGCAGUUAAGCAGCAGCGGUCCUGCGGGCAAAGAGGUGCUGGAGCUGAGGCCACUCGGAUUACAAGCGUUUUGACCCCUGAGAAGGCACAUCAGCACAGCUACAUCUGAGGCCUACCCGAGCGGUGAGUGGGGUGGACGGCCGCCACCUCGCUAUCCUGCCCUGCGGUCUCCCUUCGGAGCUCCGACGCCACGCGGUAAGGGCCCCGUAUCCCCCCCCUUUGGACCGGUGGGGGUCAUCCCGGUCCCAGGAGACUGUCUCCGCGACCUGUAAUGCCAGGGUCUGAGAGGGCUCCCCACAACCAAACUGGCGGAAGCAGCAGGCAAACCUGAAAUGGCGGCGCAAGCUGGGAGCACCGGGUCUCAGCAGAUCUGAUUCCUCGAGGCUGUCCAGACGGUUAAAAAGCAGAGGGGCCCCUCACUACAGCGAAGUCACUGACCCACAGACGGGGAUUCCCGGCUCCUGCGGCAAAGUGCAGUCGGGACCUGCCACCCGGUCCAUCCGUAUGCAACGCUGCAAACCUACACGACACCCCCGCAUUUCAGCUGAACCCAGCAGAGGAUCGGGCAGACAAAAGGGAUCAAACACAGUGCACCCACCCCUCUUACCACUAGUCACGCUGGACUCACUCCUACCAUGCCACAGACUCUGCAGAUCGGGGGUUGGAUGAGCAUGAACUGCCAGGGAGACUCUCUCAAGGUCUGGGCUGCAGUCAGAGGGGAUGGCUCCUGUCACUUUUGCCAUCUAUGCAACCUGAUGCUCUCUUUUUAUAACUUACACCGUUAAAACCACUUGCAUAGCUUAAGCCUUGUCUACCAUUUAUUUUUAUAUUAAUUUAGCCCUGCAUUGAGUCAUAGAUACAAAUCCAGCAAAGCAAUUGUUUUAGCAUAUCUUGAAGCUUGAUGUUUAACCUACUCUAACUACACUAACAUAGCUAAUCUAGCAUUGUUAAGCACUAAUAGUUUUAUUUACUUUUACCCUGACAAUAUACCAGUUUAGUCAAGCUUGCUAUAAAAAUAUAAAAGAUGUGCGAAUUUCCAUGCCACUGCCUAACUUUUGUAAAUUCUGCAAUACGCUGUUGUGGCGUCUGUCGAUACCCUGUAACCACCUGCACAACAAAAAUAAAGAAUUAAAAAAAAAAAAAAAU